ensembl:lncRNA
GGAAUCUCUAACAUAGGUUUCAUUAUUAACUUUCACUAGAAAAUAAGCCUAUUCUUUAUCCCUUUCCUAUUUCACAUUCUUUCCCCACUACUAAAAUAUAAUCAUCUACAGUAGAAGCCACCUUUUCCCUCCAAAGAGUAUCCUCAGCCAAAAUCAUGAGCACAGCAACCAUGAGCAAGUUGGUCAAGAUCUCGGGACACUAAUGACAUCAUCAGGAAUGUUCGUUCAGUCAGUAAUUGUCCCUGUGGAUGCGAUCCUUUCAGACAGAGUAAAUCUCAUGAGAAUCAAGAAUGAGCAAGGAUGGCCUUGCUGCUAGUAACUCAAGAAGCCUUCAAAGUUCCACGAAAGGACAACACUGGGAGGCCUCUGACUUCCUGGGCCCUUGGAGAAGUGCCUGGGCUCGUUGCUACAUGUCAUCUGACUCAGCCUUUUCUCAUGCUGUUUUGCUUCUUGUGGUGGCUGCUUAACCCCAAAGAAUGCAGGGAGGGUCUGUAGUGAAAGUGUCUGGAGUUCCUCCCAGAGGCACUGGCGAAACCAAAUAUUUUUUUUUUCCCUUUGCUCCAGGGGAUCAUUUUAGGUUUUGUUUUGCGCAACUGGUUUUCAGACUUGAACAUUAGCCAGUUUGGGUUGGCUCCCAAGAGUCUUCAGCAAUGGACCAUAGCUUGCCAGGCUCCUCUGCAUAUGGGAUUUUCCAGGCAAGGAUACUAGAAUGGGUUGCCAUGCCCUCCUCCAGGGGAUCAUCCUGACCCAAGGAUUGAACCCAGGCCUCCUGCAUUGCAGGCAAAUUCUACCAUCUGAGCCGUUGUCCCAAGCACAUACAUGAUACCUAUACUAACCUGAAAUUAUGACUGCCAUUUCACUGGAGACCACUUUACCACUAGUUUCAUGCUAUCUAUGAGUCAGAAUUUCUCCUUGACUUGAAUCUGACAGUCAAGCUGAUGAAACAAAACUAUGUUCAUUUCCUAUGAGAAGUAAAAGAUGUCAUCACCCGAUUUCAAAAGCCUAAAAUCGAAAGUAGGUAAGAAAAAGUUGUGAAUGAAGAAACCAGUUCCCUUAUCCCUGUGUCAUUCUAAAAAUUAUUCUCAAAUCUGUGCGUCGAAAAGUAGCUGCAUUUCUUGCUAAAACCUCAGUAUUGCUAUUGCUUUACCCGUGGAAGUUUAAGAAACUGUUGAAUUCUGAUAAACAAGUGUCUAUUGAAUAUAACAGAAUUCUGUAAAAUCCUUGAGCUAAGGAGGAGUAACCAAGGAAAGAUAAACUUGGAAAGCCCCGCCACCUCCCUCACAAAGGCUGGGAUUCAGAGCUCCUUGGAGAACUCAGUCCACUGAUAGCAGAGAAGUUUGCUGGUUUUCCCAGAACAGAGGCUGGUCUGCAGUCCCUAGGCAGGCAGGAGGC